rnacentral:rRNA from 1 species
GACGAACGCUGGCGGCGUGCUUAACACAUGCAAGUCAGGGGGCGGGGUAACCCGUCACCGGCGAACGGGUGCGGAACACGUGAGCGACCUGCCCUGGUGUGGGGGAUAGCCAGCCCAACGGCCGGGUAAUACCGCAUACGGCGCCCGCUUGGAAGCGGGAGGCGAAACUCGCAAGAGGCGCUAGGAGGGGCUCGCGGCCUAUCAGCUAGUUGGUGCGGUAACGGCGCACCAAGGCGACGACGGGUAGCUGGUCUGAGAGGAUGGCCAGCCACAUUGGGACGGAGGGACGGCCCAGACUCCUACGGGAGGGAGCAGGGGGGAAUUUGGGGCAAGGGGGGAAAGCCUGACGCCGCGAGGCCGGGGGGAGGAUGGGGCCCCGCGGGGUGUAAACUCCUGUUGCCCGGGACGAAGGCCCCGCAGCGGCGGGGUUGGCGGUACCGGGGGAGGAAGCACCGGCUAACUCUGU